CAGCAGCCGCGGUAAUACGUAGGUCCCGAGCGUUGUCCGGACUUAUUGGGCGUAAAGGGAGCGCAGGCGGUUUAGUAAGUCUGAAGUUAAAGGCAUUGGCUCAACCAAUGUAUGCUUUGGAAACUGUUAGACUUGAGUGCAGAAGGGGAGAGUGGAAUUCCAUGUGUAGCGGUGAAAUGCGUAGAUAUAUGGAGGAACACCGGUGGCGAAAGCGGCUCACUGGACCAUAACUGACGCUGAGGCGCGAAAACUAGGGGAGCAAACAGGAUUAGAUACCCGCGUAGUCCCUGUCUCUAUACAC
rnacentral:rRNA from 1 species